AUUGAACGCUGGCGGCAGGCCUAACACAUGCAAGUCGAGCGGAUGAGUGGAGCUUGCUCCAUGAUUCAGCGGCGGACGGGUGAGUAAUGCCUAGGAAUCUGCCUGGUAGUGGGGGACAACGUUUCGAAAGGAACGCUAAUACCGCAUACGUCCUACGGGAGAAAGCAGGGGACCUUCGGGCCUUACGCUAUCAGAUGAGCCUAGGUCGGAUUAGCGAGUAGGUGGGUUAAUGGCUGACCUAGGCGACGAUCCGUAACUGGUAUGAGAGGAUGAUCAGUCACACUGGAAAUGAGACACGGUCCAGACUCCUACGGGAGGCAGCAGUGGAGAAUAUUGGACAAUGGGCGAAAGCCUGAUCCAGCCAUGCCGCGUGUGUGAAGAAGGUCUUCGGAUUGUAAAGCACUUUAAGUUGGGAGGAAGGGCAGUACGUUAAUACCUUACUGUUUUGACGUUACCAACAGAAUAAGCACCGGCUAACUUCGUGCCAGCCGCCGCUGUAACAC
rnacentral:rRNA from 1 species